rnacentral:rRNA from 1 species
GAGAGGUUCGAUCCUGGCUCAGGAUGAACGCUGGCGGCGUGCUUAACACAUGCAAGUCGAGCGAAGCGAUCAAAUGAAGUUUCGGACGGAUUUGAAUUGACUUAGCGGCGGACGGGUGAGUAACGCGUGGGUAACCUGCCUCAUACAGGGGGAUAACAGUUGGAAACGGCUGCUAAUACCGCAUAAGCACACAGUGCCGCAUGGUACGGUGUGAAAAACUCCGGUGGUAUGAGAUGGACCCGCGUCUGAUUAGGUAGUUGGUGAGGUAACGGCCCACCAAGCCGACGAUCAGUAGCCGACCUGAGAGGGUGACCGGCCACAUUGGGACUGAGACACGGCCCAAACUCCUACGGGAGGCAGCAGUGGGGAAUAUUGGACAAUGGGGGAAACCCUGAUCCCAGCGACGCCGCGUGAGUGAAGAAGUAUUUCGGUAUGUAAAGCUCUAUCAGCAGGGAAGAAAAUGACGGUACCUGACUAAGAAGCCCCGGCUAACUACGUGCCAGCAGCCGC